rnacentral:rRNA from 1 species
AUUGAACGCUGGCGGCAUGCCUUACACAUGCAAGUCGAACGGCAGCACGGGAGCAAUCCUGGUGGCGAGUGGCGAACGGGUGAGUAAUGUAUCGGAACGUACCUUUCAGUGGGGGAUAACGUAGCGAAAGUUACGCUAAUACCGCAUAUUCUGNGAGCAGGAAAGCAGGGGAUCGCAAGACCUUGCGCUGAUUGAGCGGCCGAUAUCAGAUUAGCUAGUUGGUGAGGUAAAGGCUCACCAAGGCGACGAUCUGUAGCGGGUCUGAGAGGAUGAUCCGCCACACUGGAACUGAGACACGGUCCAGACUCCUACGGGAGGCAGCAGUGGGGAAUUUUGGACAAUGGGCGCAAGCCUGAUCCAGCCAUGCCGCGUGAGUGAAGAAAGGCCUCGG